UACGAAGGGGGCUAGCGUUGCUCGGAAUUACUGGGCGUAAAGGGCGCGUAGGCGGAUAUUUAAGUUAGAGGUGAAAGCCCAGGGCUCAACCCUGGAACAGCCUUUAAUACUGGAUAUCUUGAGUUCGGGAGAGGUGAGUGGAACUCCGAGUGUAGAGGUGAAAUUCGUAGAUAUUCGGAAGAACACCAGUGGCGAAGGCGACUCACUGGACACGUAUUGACGCUCAUGCACGAAAGCGUGGGGAGCAAACAGG
rnacentral:rRNA from 1 species